AUACGUAUGGAGCAAGCGUUAUCCGGAUUUACUGGGUGUAAAGGGAGCGUAGACGGUAUGGCAAGUCUGAUGUGAAAGGUGAGGGCUCAACCCUUAAACUGCAUUGGAAACUGUCCCACUGGAGUGUCGGAGAGGUAAGUGGAAUUCCUAGUGUAGCGGUGAAAUGCGUAGAUAUUGGAAAGAACACCGGUGGCGAAGGCGAUCUACUGGACGAUAACUGACGCUGAUACACGAAAGUGUGGGGAGCAAACAGGAUUAGAUACCCUGGUAGUCCACACUGUAAACGAUGAAUGCUAGGUGUGAGGAAGCAAUUUUUCGUGCCGCAGCUAACGCAAUAAGCAUUCCACCUGGGGAGUACGGCCGCAAGGUUGAAACUCAAAUGAAUCGACGGGG
rnacentral:rRNA from 1 species